AUAGAGUUUUGUUUUGUAUUGUUCUUAUAACCAUAAAUAACCAACGGUAUAGUUUUAAUUUAUUUUAGAAUUAGAACAAUGAUUUUGUUAAAUUAACCGGUGGUGGUCUGAUUUAAAUAAUGCGGUAAAAUUAAUAUGUAGAGUGUAUUUAAUAUCUGUAACUCUCUGGAAAUGGUCCAAACUUAAAUGACAAACUUCUAUCCGUAGAUAAAAGUAGGAUUAUAUUUUAAUAGAUUAGAUUUUCUGCGAAGAACUAAUGCAUCAUUUGCUCUUUAUUGUUGUUCCUACAAACUUCUUCAAACAUAUCAAUAUACUUUGAAUAUCUACCAGACGAUCGAUGAACUAUUCAUCUUUAUUUUUUAUUGUUGGUGCUAACACCAGUGGGAUUGAAGAAGCAAAAUUGUGUGGCGAAUUGGAUCUGUGUUUUGGCGCUGGGGUAGAGCGAAUAAGAGUAGAAGUAGUCGUUAUCAUUGUUCCAGUCCGGCGAUAGACGGGUGGAUCUUUAGAUUUUUUUCAUCCACUAUUUUUUUUUUUUGUCAUCUACUAUUUGUAUUUAGUUUUUCUAUUUUUUUUAGUGAUAACCCUAAUCUAUUUUCAAUUAGCCGCCAUUGGUUUUCUCAUUUUUCAGCCGGAGAGCACUUUUUCGGUAAUCCAUUAGUAAUAUGUUAAUAAAAAUCAUGUAAUUAAAUUUUGUUUGGUAAUAAAAAAGGCUAUCGGUUUAAAAAUAUUUUGUAAUGAUUAAAAACAUUAAAAUUUUCAUAUUGUAGAAGUAUUUGAUCAAACUUAUAUGUUUUUGGUAUGAUUAUAUUAGUAGAAAAUAAUAAUGUUAAAAGAUAAAUAUGUACAAAAAUAUUACUUCUUCCACAAUCAUCUGCCAUUACAAACGUUAAAUUUAUUGUUGGGUUUGUAACGCUGUCAGGAUUUAAGAUGUUGUUGGCAUCGUUAACAAUGUUAAAAAAAUAUAUAUUGGCAAUUACUAUUACUUUUUAGUUUUUUAAUUUUAUUAUUUCAAAA
rnacentral:lncRNA from 1 species